CUUAAACCAAAAGCAGCAAAACCAUCUAGACUUCAUGCUUCAUUGAAUCCCAGUGCUUCCUUCCCUCUCUGCCUCCAGCGUUCCUUUCCGUUCCGGAAACAUCUACUAGGGUUCUUCUCCGAGGACUAAGAUCACGCCGCCGGUACGCCUUGCUCUCGCCGACGGUGUUCCGUUCACUGCUUGCAGAAGUACUCCAAAUCCUACAGUAGUUGCAAUAGUUCGUCCCCUCUCCAAAAAGAAAGGAAAUGGAAGCUAAGUUGUCGAAUUUCAUUGAUCAAUAUGUGGUUCCGGGUGAUGUAGUUUUGGAUCUCUCGAGUAUGGCCAAUCAAACCAUCAAGCUUGGUGGUGGUCUUCAUCAGGAAGGUGAUGUCAUUUCUGUCAUCAAGGCUGGGACGCUAAGAUUUCUUAAGCCAAACAAAUAUUGGGUAGAGAGCUCCCAAAAAAGAUAUGUACCUUGCGUGGGGGAUAAUGUUCUUGGCAUUGUAGUAGACUCUAAAGCAGAUAACUUUCUUGUGGACAUAAAAGGGUCGACCUUUGCAUUCCUUCCUGUACUUGCAUUUGAAGGAGGAACAAGAAGAAACAUACCCAAGUUUGAGGUAGGUACUUUGCUCUAUGUUCGGGUUGUGAAGGCAAAUACGAGCAUGAAUCCCGAGCUGUCAUGCACUGAUGCCACUGGGAAAGCUGCAGAGUAUGGCGCCCUCAAGGAUGGCUAUAUGUUUGAAACAUCUACUGGCCUUGCAAGAAUGCUGCUCAGUUCUCCUACAUGCCCGGUUCUUGAAGCUCUUGGAAAGAAGCUCGCAUUUGAGAUAGCCGUUGGCUUAAAUGGCCGUGUUUGGGUGAACGCGGAGGCUCCAUCGACAGUCAUCCUUGUAUCAAAUGCAAUCAUGAAUUCUGAGUCUCUGAGCAAGGCGCAGCAAAAGAUUAUGGUGGAUAGACUGCUCCAUCACAAAUAUGCUGAUGGGAAAUCCUGAAAAGAGCAGUGAGAGGGUUGAAUCCAACUCAAGGGAGGUGAUUGCAGGAAGCUAGAUAAGAUAUUUGAGAAGCUCAUGGCAUGGUGAUUGGUGCGUCUUAAAGAUUCUCCAAUGUAUUUGGAACGUCAAGGAUUUAGGCUUUGGAAGAGGCAUUCCUAGUACAUGAAGCUCCCCGUUUUCUGAGGGUUGGAAAAGGAUGUAUUUGGAAUUUUGGACUGAAAUGGGAAGAAUAUUUGGCCAUAGAGAUGGUUGGAACGUAAUAUCAAAGCGAUUGAGGCUUCUCCGCAAGAGAUCCUUUUGCACAAGUAACAGCAACAACGAGAAGAAAGGUGAUGGGUCUGUGAGCACUUAUGACGACGCUUAUCAUCAGCUUGACAAGCUUGACUUCAUGACUGCCUCUAAGAUUCUCUUCACCACUCCUCCGAAGAAGAAAAAGUUUGGGUAGUUGACCAUGCUAAUUGUGAUUUUAGUUGAUGAUUUGAGCUUCUUUUAGGCAUUUUUGGGGAACAUGUUUGCUUCAUUUUCUCUGAUAUGUUGAAGUUAUGUUUUUGCCUCAUUAAAGGCCUACUAGAUCUGUGGUUAUGUAGUUGGAUUUCAUUGUUUAAGAUUAUGUGUGCACUUAAUCUUGAUCAUUAAAAUAUAAAAACUUGUCAAAGAUGUCAUUUUCUUAAUUUGUUUGUGCUCAAUUUCAAGAUGUCAUGACAAGAUUUGUUUUUCUCAAUUAGACUUUGCAAUCCAUUUAAUUAUCCUUUUGCAAUCCUGUUACGUACUUUUGUCCUUUCUUAAUCUGAUGGUCCACAUCUUCUAUGCAUAAAAUAUAUGUGCCCAUUUCUUACAUCAGGGAAUGGACCACUCUACAAAGACUUGGUAUGAGGAUGUUUAUUUUUGGCUAUUUGUUUCUUGCUGAACGGUAAAAUAAAAUCUUUUUGGACAGUUUAUUAAUCAUUCUAACACAGUCAAUCUAUCUGCAGUAUUAUGAAGAAAGAUUUUUAUGGUACUUGAGAACUAGGAUUCGGUUUCCUGGUGAACAUGUGUUCUUUGGUUGUUGCAUGCAUGUGAAACAUCAUGGCGGAGAGUUUAUAUCCAUGCCAUAGCAAGUGCCUUGGGAACCCAAAUCUUGAAGUGGAAAUGGACUCUUGAAUUUAUUGAGGUGUAUCUAGGUGGUUUACAUUUGAAUGAUUGAAAUUUAUUAAAGUGUGUGUUGAUCGCUUAUUAUUUGCUGUCACUGUUCCCGUUUUACUUUUGGAUAGCAGUUUCUAGAGCAUAUUCUUACAUGUUUCUCUUCUUGGUCAGGAUUGAUUUUCAUCUUGUACAAUUCUUCUUUGCCUGCAUGCCUUCAUUGGGUAUCUCUGCUCACUGAUGCAUGGUAUACUGUGAUUUCGAGAUGACUUUUGGUCUGGCCCUGCUAUUACUAAAAUAUUUUUCAUGUAACAGCUGUGUAUUUGGUGGCUCAAUAUGCUCGCUAUGAAAUGAGAAAAAUGGAGGCG